ACAGACUGAAAAUUACCUGUGAUGUAUCAGUUGUCACAGGUAAGAUUACUGUGCCGACAGGAAGGUGGUACAUAAAGCUUUUUGCCCGCUUUUGUAGCGGGACAAAUAAACCCAUGUGCCUACAGUG
ensembl:snoRNA